rnacentral:rRNA from 1 species
GACGAACGCUGGCGGCGUGCCUAAUACAUGCAAGUCGAACGCAGUGGGGACGGGUGAGUAACACGUGGGUAACCUCCCAUCAGAGGGGAUAAAACUUGGAAAAAGGUGCUAAACCGAUACUGAUGGAUGAACCCGCGGUGCAUUAGCUAGUGGGGGAGGAAACGGCUCACCAAGGCCACGAGGCAUAGCCGACCUGAGAGGGGGCUCGGCCAAAGUGGGACUGAGACAGGGCCCAGACUCCUACGGGAGGCAGCAGUAGGGAAUCUGCGGCAAUGGACGAAAGUCUGACCGAGCAACGCCGCGUGAGUGAAGAAGGUUUUCGGUUCGUAAAACUCUUUUGUGAGAGAAGCGGUAUCUAACCAGAAAGCCACGGCUAACUACGUGCCAGCCGCGCGGUAAUUC